rnacentral:rRNA from 1 species
CCUACGGGUGGCAGCAGUGGGGAAUAUUGCACAAUGUGGGAAACCCUGAUGCAGCGACGCCGCGUGAGUGAAGAAGUAAUUCGUUAUGUAAAGCUCUAUCAGCAGGGAAGAAAAUGACGGUACCUGAGUAAGAAGCCCCGGCUAACUACGUGCCAGCAGCCGCGGUAAUACGUAGGGGGCAAGCGUUAUCCGGAUUUACUGGGUGUAAAGGGAGCGUAGACGGCAGUGCAAGUCUGGAGUGAAAACUAUGGGCUCAACCGAUAGAGUGCAUUUGAAACUGCAGUUCUUGAGUGAUGGAGAGGCAGGCGGAAUUCCCGGUGUAGCGGUGGAAUGCGUAGAUAUCGGGAGGAACACCAGUGGCGAAGGCGGCCUGCUGGACAUUAACUGACGCUGAGGCGCGAAAGCGUGGGGAGCAAACAGGAUUAGAUACCCGUGUAGUC